ACGCUAGCUACAGGCUUAACACAUGCAAGUCGAGGGGCAGCAUGGAAGAAGCUUGCUUCUUCUGAUGGCGACCGGCGCACGGGUGCGUAACGCGUAUCAAACCUGCCUCAUACUCGGGGAUAGCCUUGCGAAAGUAAGAUUAAUACCCGAUGUUGUUAUGUUACCGCAUGGUGAUAUAACCAAAGAUUUAUCGGUAUGAGAUGGUGAUGCGUCCGAUUAGGUAGUAGGCGGGGUAACGGCCCACCUAGCCUUCGAUCGGUAGGGGUUCUGAGAGGAAGGUCCCCCACACUGGAACUGAGACACGGUCCAGACUCCUACGGGAGGCAGCAGUGAGGAAUAUUGGUCAAUGGACGAAAGUCUGAACCAGCCAAGUAGCGAGCAGGAUGACGGCCCUCCGGGUUGUAAACUGCUUUUAGUUGGGAAUAAAAAGAGGGACGUGUCCCUCAUUGUAUGUACCUUCAGAAAAAGGACCGGCUAAUUCCGUGCCAGCAGCCGCGGUAAUACGGAAGGUCCAGGCGCUAUCCGGAUUUAUUGGGUUUAAAGGGAGCGUAGGCGGAUUAUUAGGUCAGUGGUGAAAGACGGUGGCUCAACCAUCGUUAGCCAUUGAAACUGGUAGUCUUGAGUGCAGACAGGGAUGCUGGAACUCGUGGUGUAGCGGUGAAAUGCUUAGAUAUCACGAUGAACUCCGAUCGCGAAGGCAGGUGUCCGGGCUGCAACUGACGCUGAGGCUCGAAAGUGUGGGUAUCAAACAGGAUUAGAUACCCUGGUAGUCCACACAGUAAACGAUGUAUACUCGCGGUUUGCGAUACAGUGUAAGCCGCCAAGCGAAAGCAUUAAGUAUACCACCUGGGGAGUACGCCGGCAACGGUGAAACUCAAAGGAAUUGACGGGGGCCCGCACAAGCGGAGGAACAUGUGGUUU
rnacentral:rRNA from 1 species